rnacentral:rRNA from 1 species
GAUGAACGCUGGCGGCGUGCCUAAUACAUGCAAGUCGAGCGAACAGACGAGGAGCUUGCUCCUCUGACGUUAGCGGCGGACGGGUGAGUAACACGUGGAUAACCUACCUAUAAGACUGGGAUAACUUCGGGAAACCGGAGCUAAUACCGGAUAAUAUAUUGAACCGCAUGGUUCAAUAGUGAAAGACGGUUUUGCUGUCACUUAUAGAUGGAUCCGCGCCGCAUUAGCUAGUUGGUAAGGUAACGGCUUACCAAGGCAACGAUGCGUAGCCGACCUGAGGGAGUGGUCGCCCACACUGGAGCGGAGACACGGUCCAGGCUACUGAGGGAGGCAGCAGUAGGCAAUCUUCCGCAGUGGGCGGGAGCCUUACGGAGCAACGCCACGUGAGUGAUGAAGGUCUUCGGAUCGUAAAACUCUGUUAUUAGGGAAGAACAAAUGUGUAAGUAACUGUGCACGUCUUGACGGUACCGAAUCAGAAAGCCACGGCUAACUACGUG